rnacentral:rRNA from 1 species
UAAUACGGAGGAUGCGAGCGUUAUCCGGAAUUAAUGGGUUUAAAGGGUGCGUAGGCGGAAUGGUAAGUCAGCGGUGAAAUACUGCAGCUCAACUSUAGUUGUGCCGUUGAAACUGUCAUKCUUGAGUAUAGAUGAGGUAGGCGGAAUGACUAGUGUAGCGGUGAAAUGCAUAGAUAUUASKCAGAACACCGAUUGCGAAGGCAGCUUACUAAACUAUAACUGACGCUGAAAGCACGAAAGCGUGGGUAUCAAACAGGAUUAGAUACCCUGGUAGUCCACGCUGUAAACGAUGAUUA